rnacentral:rRNA from 1 species
AUUGAACGCUGGCGGCAGGCCUAACACAUGCAAGUCGAGCGGAUGACGGGAGCUUGCUCCUUGAUUCAGCGGCGGACGGGUGAGUAAUGCCUAGGAAUCUGCCUGGUAGUGGGGGACAACGUUUCGAAAGGAGCGCUAAUACCGCAUACGUCCUACGGGAGAAAGCAGGGGACCUUCGGGCCUUGCGCUAUCAGAUGAGCCUAGGACGGAUUAGCUAGUAGGUGAGGUAAUGGCUCACCUAGGCGACGAUCCGUAACUGGUCUGAGAGGAUGAUCAGUCACACUGGAACUGAGACACGGUCCAGACUCCUACGGGAGGCAGCAGUGGGGAAUAUUGGACAAUGGGCGAAAGCCUGAUUCAGCCAUGCCGCGUGUGUGAAGAAGGUCUUCGGAUUGUAAAGCACUUUAAGUUGGGAGGAAGGGUUGUACGUUAAUACCGUGCAAUUUUGACGUUACCGACAGAAUAAGCACCGGCUAACUCUGUGCCAGCCGCCGCCGUAA